GUCCCGUUAGCUCAACUGGAUAGAGUGCCGGCCUCCGAAGCCGGAAAUAUGGGUUCAAAUCCCGUACGGGGCA
rnacentral:tRNA from 1 species